AUCAUUAAUCAAAUCAUUUGUUCGAUUAAUAUAUCAUAACGUAACACAUAACACUGCCUAUUGCAGUCAGCACAUAAUCUAAUCACCUUAUCACACAUGUUCAACAGUCAUGGUUUCACAAACAAACAUCAACACAUUCCUAAUCGCAUUGUUACAUAACCUUAACCACCAUUGAAUCACAAAUAAACAGUUAACUAACUAAAUUAUCCAUGUCCAGAUCAAUUUCUGAACCAUGCCGGUCUAUCGACAACUUUAUCGGGUA
rnacentral:lncRNA from 1 species